ensembl:snoRNA SNORD36 Small nucleolar RNA SNORD36
UUGCGAUGAUGUAUGAAUUUCUUCACCUGAAUAAAAAUGAAGAGCAAAACGAGCUUUUUAACACUGAGCAAC